ensembl:lncRNA
UCGCUGUGCAGCCGGCUGCCAGCCGCCGCCGCCGUGUGCGUGUGCGUGCGUGUGCGUGCGUGUGUGUGUGUGUGUGUGUGUGUGCGUGUGUGUGUGCGCGCGUGUGUGCCUCUGUGUGUGUGUGUGUGUGUGUGAGUGUGUGCGCGCGUGUGUGUGCGCGCGCGCGCGUCUCCUUUUUCUUCCCCCUCUUUCUUUUUUUCUCUCUCUCUCUUUUUGAACUGCAGCUCUUGAAUGUGUGCCAUUCUUUAGACUUUCAGUCUGUUAAAGGAUUUUAAUUAGGCCUUGACUCCACAUCACCGUGGGUGCCUUUGUGGACUGGUGAAUGGUACAAGAGUAGUGUGAAUCCAGCCCCCUAUCCAGCACUAGGCAGCCGUAAACACAGGAAAGCAAUUUGCCAACGCAAAGCCUCGGGAAGCUGUGGUACGCGAUCGCUCUCCGGCGCGGUGCCCCGCGGCGGGUCGGCCCGNNNNNNNNNNNNNNNNNNNNNNNNGCCCCGGGUCGCCCCGGGCCGCUCCGGGCCCGCCUCGCCGCUUGCGCCCGUCGCGCCGCUCCGAAUGAGACCUCGCGCCGAUGCACUUCUCCAUACACUUGCAACAUGCCACAUACACGUGGGAUUUGGCGACACAAAAUCAGCCUCUCUUUCCCGCCCCCUCCCUCAGGUCCAGAUUUAUUUAGAAUUAAAGUUGCUUCCCUCCCCUCUUUGGUUUUUUUUUUCCUCCGUCCCCUCUCGCAAGCGGUAAAUAAAGCUCAUUUGCAUGUCUUUGCAGAAAGUUGCUGCUGUACUAGAAUAGAAACCGGGCUUACCUAGUUUGGCAGGGUAUGCAAAGUAGGAUUGGCUGGAUCAAUUAGAGAAUUAUCUAUUUAUGAAAUGUCUAGCUGCAAUGAAAAGAGCUGGUACAAUUAUGAACUGUUGUCUUGACAACUGGGAAGGACUGAUUGGAUCAUUUUAUCAGUAGGGUUGCUGAUUUCAAAAGCAAGCUGCCGAAAAUAGUAAGGGACUUGGGUUUCAGAAAAGGGAUUUUUUCUUCUUCGUCUUUGCUAGUAGGGAAAAAUGUAAAGGGGGUGGGGAGAGGGAAAAGGGUUUCGCCAAGAAAGGUCCGUGAUGCAGAUUUAUUGGCAAAAAGCCAGAGUUGCUAUUGUAAAUUUCCUCGUCGGUUUCAAUGUCAACCCAAGCUCGUAUUUGAACCCGGAAUCAGGGCAAAAGCAUUAUCACUCUGUCACUUUGUUGCCAGAAGUGGAUUUUUUUUUGUUAAUAUUUUACUGUUACAUCUGACAGGAUUUCACAUUUUCUGUAGCCCGCCUUUAGUACGUUGAACUGCCAGACAGAGAAAUUAAUACCCUGAGUGACUGUAUUUUAAUUAAGCAAUUUCAUGCAAAUUACAAAUUUUAGAUUGCCAAAUAAUAUAUUGCACAAAAAUUGUAGGCUGGCUGAUCUGAUAUGCAUGGAGUAUUACUCUUCCAGGCGCUGUGCAUACAUGGGAAAAUGAACAAAAAUGCUAAUUUCCAAUCUACUAUGCAAACGGUAAAAGAUGCCUAUUUAGAUACAUAUGCUUUCCUUAGGAAGGGUAAACAGUUCUUUAAUUUAAUAUAGCUGACACUUGAAGAUGUGUUUUUCUCUUUUACAAAGAUAAUUUUUGCAUUGAACAAGUAAAUGAGAAUUCAAGUAGAAAACAUCUUGUUAAUGGCGACUAAUAAAAACUAAUAUUGCAUGCA